rnacentral:tRNA from 1 species
CGGGCUGUAGCGCAGUUGGCUAGCGCACCUGAUUUGGGAUCAGGGGGUCGUGGGUUCGAGUCCCACCAGCCCGA